UAAUAAUAAUCGAAAUGAACUUUUGGUAUCGUUCAUUGGUAAAUCUAAUUUGGUUGCGCUCUACUUAUCAAGAGUAAUGUUUAACCUUGUUUAUAAAAAUAAUGCAUUAAAAAAACCUUAUUACUCUUACAAAUCUUUGAUAAAAAUAGCGUUUAUUCGUCAAUGUAGUCGUGAAAUUCCAUCGCUAUCUUUUAACUUAAAUGAAUCUUUGUAUAUUCCAACUAGAAUUUUAAAAUCUUUCAGUUUUUUGAGAGUUAAUAUCGUAAGAUAUAAAAGAAAUGUCCUGUUAUAAAAGAACUCGCGUAUUUUGCGGAACUGUCCCACUAAUCUAACAGACCGAAGUUAGGAUGCACAUCUCGCUGAUGAUGAUUUGUCUUAAAUUAACCGAAACGACGAAAGCACCCUUGGCGAUGAAUUAAUUGAGCUGAAGCAACUGAUAAAAUGUCGAAAUAAAGAACAACUGCUUUUUUUUCGAAUGGUAGGAAAUAAAAUUUAUUGAUUGAAAAUUUUAUCAAUUUUUGAUUAUUUUGAUAAAUACAUUACUAUUUUCUUGGGGAAAAUUGUUUAAUACGAACGAUUAAAGUAAUUUUGAAAACAGAAAAUAUUUAUUAUGCUGGAUAUAAUAGAAAUUUUUGUUUUCGAAUAUUCUAUAUACACCUACAUAAUUCUAAAAAAAAAUCUUAAAAAUUUUGUGCUCUCGACUU
rnacentral:lncRNA from 1 species